UAACCUUACUUAUGAAAGUAAGCUGAACAAUCAGAAGUUAGCAGAGGUCAUAGUACCUAUCUCGGCGCAAAGAUAGGGAAGGAC
rfam:Bacillus cereus subsp. cytotoxis NVH 391-98, complete genome.